CCACUGUUCCCCUGCAAUCCAAGCAACUGUUUCUGAAUUGGCUGAUUUGUACAAGACGCACCAUUUCUGAGGACUUCUGGCACAGUGGCCUGCUCUGUUCAAAGUUCGCAAGAUCAGUGCUGAAUUGAAAAGAAUCACCACAGUCCCAGUGCAAUGGCCUGCACUGUUCGAAGUCCACAAGGUCAUGGAUGAAGUUGCCGUAGACGAAGCAAUUGAAGACAUCACUAUUGGAAUCUGCUCUGACAGAAGAUUGGGCAUCCCAACCUUUGGACAUUGUCAGUUUUAGUGUAUGUCAGUCACACACGUGACACCCAAUCGGAAAGGACUUUUUUUCAGCAACUAAAAAACAGCAGUUAUUUUUGUUUCUUUAAGUGAAAUGUACCUUUUUUCUAGAGAUCUAUUUGCUUGUAUGCCCUUCCAGCUCCUUGCUGGUUUUAAGAAUAGCACUUGAGUGUGCAUAUGUUUUGUACAUACUGUGUUGAUUUUGACCCAAACUAAAGACAAACAAAAUACCAAGACUAGACUUAAAUAAGACUGGGUAAUAACACAAAUGUGGUCACCAAAGAGGACAACCGAAUGAAUGGUGGACUGCCAGAUGCACGCGCACAUGCAUACGUGCACAUGCAU